CUGAACAUUGAGCCUUGAUGUGUAGGAUAGGUGGGAGGCUUUGAAGUGUGGACGCCAGUCUGCAUGGAGCCGACCUUGAAAUACCACCCUUUAAUGUUUGAUGUUCUAACGUGGAUCCGUAAUCCGGGUUGCGGACAGUGUCUGGUGGGUAGUUUGACUGGGGCGGUCUCCUCCUAAAGAGUAACGGAGGAGCACGAAGGUUGGCUAAUCCUGGUCGGACAUCAGGAGGUUAGUGCAAUGGCAUAAGCCAGCUUGACUGCGAGCGUGACGGCGCGAGCAGGUGCGAAAGCAGGUCAUAGUGAUCCGGUGGUUCUGAAUGGAAGGGCCAUCGCUCAACGGAUAAAAGGUACUCCGGGGAUAACAGGCUGAUACCGCCCAAGAGUUCAUAUCGACGGCGGUGUUUGGCACCUCGAUGUCGGCUCAUCACAUCCUGGGGCUGAAGUAGGUCCCAAGGGUAUGGCUGUUCGCCAUUUAAAGUGGUACGCGAGCUGGGUUUAGAACGUCGUGAGACAGUUCGGUCCCUAUCUGCCGUGGGCGCUGGAGAACUGAGGGGGGCUGCUCCUAGUACGAGAGGACCGGAGUGGACGCAUCACUGGUGUUCGGGUUGUCAUGCCAAUGGCACUGCCCGGUAGCUAAAUGCGGAAGAGAUAAGUGCUGAAAGCAUCUAAGCACGAAACUUGCCCCGA
rnacentral:rRNA from 1 species